rnacentral:misc_RNA from 1 species
GAUGAAGAACGUAGCGAAAUGCGAUAAGUAAUGUGAAUUGCAGAAUUCAGUGAAUCAUCGAAUCUUUGAACGCACAUUGCGCCCGCCAGUAUUCUGGCGGGCAUGCCUGUUCGAGCGUCAUUUCAACCAUCAAGCCCCCGGCUUGUGUUGGGGACCUGCGGCUGCCGCAGGCCCCGAAAACCAGUGGCGGGCUCGCUAGUCACUCCGAGCGUAGUAAUACAUCUCGCUCAGGGCGUGCUGCGGGUUCCGGCCGUUAAAAAGCCUUAUUUACCCAAGGUUGACCUCGGAUCAGGUAGGAAGACCCGCUGAACUUAAGCAUAUCAAUAAGCGGAGGA